rnacentral:tRNA from 5 species
GGUCCCAUCGUCUAUCGGUUAGGACACAUGGUUUUCAUCCAUGAAAGAGGGGUUCGAUUCCCCUUGGGACCGCCA